rnacentral:rRNA from 1 species
CCUACGGGGGGCUGCAGUGGGGAAUAUUGCACAAUGGGGGAAACCCUGAUGCAGCGACGCCGCGUGAGUGAGGAAGUAUUUCGGUAUGUAAAGCUCUAUCAGCAGGGAGGAAAAUGACGAUACCUGACUAAGAAGCCCCGGCUAACUACGUGCCAGCAGCCGCGGUAAUACGUAGGGUGCAAGCGUUAUCCGGAUUUACUGGGUGUAAAGGGAGCGUAGACGGCUAAUCAAGUCAGAAGUGAAAACCCAGGGCUUAACCUUGGGACUGCUUUUGAAACUGAGUAGCUAGAGUGCAGGAGAGGGAAGAGGAAUUCCGAGUGUAGCGGUGAAAUGCGUAGAUAUGAGGAGGAACACCAGUGGCGAAGGCGGCUUACUGGACUGUAACUGACGGUGAGGCGCGAAAGCGUGGGGAGCAAACAGGAUUAGAUACCCGAGUAGUC